rnacentral:rRNA from 1 species
GAUGAACGCUAGCGGCAGGCUUAACACAUGCAAGUCGAGGGGUAUAGUUCUUUGGAACUAGAGACCGGCGCACGGGUGCGUAACGCGUAUGCAAUCUACCUUUUGCAGAGGGAUAGCCCAGAGAAAUUUGGAUUAAUACCUCAUGGUAUGUGAGAAUGGCAUCAUUUUCACAUUAAAGUCACAACGGCAAAAGAUGAGCAUGCGUCCCAUUAGCUAGUUGGUAAGGUAACGGCUUACCAAGGCAACGAUGGGUAGGGGUCCUGAGAGGGAGAUCCCCCACACUGGUACUGAGACACGGACCAGACUCCUACGGGAGGCAGCAGUGAGGAAUAUUGGACAAUGGGCGCAAGCCUGAUCCAGCCAUGCCGCGUGCAGGAUGACGGUCCUAUGGAUUGUAAACUGCUUUUGUACAGGAAGAAACACUGGUUCGUGAACCAGCUUGACGGUACUGUAAGAAUAAGGAUCGGCUAACUCCGUGCCAGCAGCCGCGGUAACAC